CCUGUGGCCUGUUGCGAAGCAACAGCAACACACUUUGUUCGGCUCUGACAAACCCCACGUUUCUCUAACGUUAUCAGAAUUUGAUCCAUCCACCAUUCAAGUUCGCGGAGCGCUAAACAGGAAGCAAACAUGAAACGAAAACAGACGACAAUAUUUCAAUGUUUUCCGAAGUUUUCCCCUAUUACCACUACAGAAGAAGAGCCAGGUCAGGCGGCUGUCCUAAAGGUGACAGAGAACGAGCCCGGCGCUACCGCAAAUGUACCCGGUUGUGCUCUUUGCAGCGCUACAAAAUCAACCGGUGUCCUAACAGAACAACGAGUGUCUGUCUGAGGAGUGGGUGCACUUUAAGAUCCAGUCCUCAGAUUCAAGCAGAUCAACAUCUCUGGCCUCUUUGAGAAACAAGAUUAGACAACAUGAGAUGUCCAGAGCACACAAAAUAGCCCAGGAGCUCACGGAGAAGGGUGGACAGGAUUUAGUUGGAAAUGUGGUGAGAGCUGUGUCAGAGACUGUGUUUGCAGAGACAGAUUCUGUAUUCAGAACAGCAUAAUAUCUUGCGAAGAUGAACCAACCUUUUACUGACCAUGAUAGUCUCAUUGAGCUUCAGGAAAAAACUGGUGUCAACAUGGGCACUAGUCUGCACUCAAGGUACAGUUCCACAAAACUGUAGAACACAUAGCAAAAGAUGAUGCAGAAAAAAAAAGUUCACAGUAUUGUGACGUCUUCAAGCAAGUUGUCUGUUCUCAUUGACGAGGCUAUAUCUGCAGGGCUUGUGGACUAACACAGUGAACCCAGUAUGGACAUGUUGAGUGCUUUUUCAACCCUCAUUUAUUGAGGUGAAGCUUAUUUGUUAAUUUGUUUCUUGUUUGAAGCUAAUUUGUCUUGUAGCACUUCAAGGAUGUUUGCUUGUUCAUUUAAGCUGAUACAGUACAUAGUUUGACAAUGAUUUAUUGAAGAUAAUAGGGCUGAACAAGUUUGAAUAAAUAUCUAAUGCAUUGAAAAA